rnacentral:rRNA from 1 species
AUGAUCACCUCCCAGCGAGACCGAGCGCGCUUCACCGCCGUUUGGAGGGAAAAGGAGUUAAGAGAAAAAGAGAAGGCUCAGCACCUCUAUUUGCAUGUCAAAUCUGAAGUAGAGAGCUAUCUGAAGGAGAAGAGAGAGAAGGAUCCCUACAGGAGUACACUGACCGGUCUUCUAUAUCAGGCAGGAAAUGGUUCUGAUGCAGAAAUACCCACAUUUGAACCCGCAAGCUGA